rnacentral:rRNA from 1 species
AUUGAACGCUGGCGGCAGGCCUAACACAUGCAAGUCGAGCGGAGCGGCGGACGGGUGAGUAAGGCCUAGCAAUCUGCCUGGUUGUUGGGGAUAACUUACUGAUACGGGCGCUAAUACCUCAUACUAUCCCUUGAGUCUAGCUCGGAUUAGCUAGUUGGUGGGGUAAAGGCCUACCAAGGCGACGAUCCGUAACUGGGCUGAGAGGAUGAUCAGUCACACUGGAACUGAGACACGGUCCAGACUCCUACGGGAGGCAGCAGUGGGGAAUAUUGGACAAUGGGCGAAAGCCUGAUCCAGCCAUGCCGCGUGUGUGAAGAAGGUCUUCGGAUUGUAAAGCACUUUAAGUUGGGAGGCGUUACCAGCAGAAUAAGCACCGGCUAACUUCGUGCCAGCAGCCGCGGUAAUUC